UUUUUUUCUAAAAAUUAAUCUUAUAAUAUGAACUACAAAUGUCUAACAUACUUUUGUCUAAUAUGCUUGAUUACAAUUGAUUUGCACCAACAUUACUCAGGGGUCUCCAUAUCAUGCAAUGCCCUUAACAGAAUCAAUCCGAUAUGUCGGCUACCGAAAAGUCCUGGGUCAGG